AGGUACAUUUUUGCCUGUAGUCCCAGUUACCUGGAGACUUGAGGCAGGAUAAUUGCUUAAGUCCAUAAGUUUUGAGCUUUAGUGUGCUAUGCCAAUCGGGUGUCUACACUAAGUUUGGCAUCAGUAUAGUGACCUUCUGCGAGCAGGAGACCACCAGGUUGCCUAAGGAGAGGUGAACUGCCCAGGCUGGAAACAGAGAAUAUCAAAACUCUUGGGUUGAUUAGUAGUAGUACUGUGCCAGUGAAUAAUACUGCACUCCAACCUGGGCAACACAGCAAGACCCUAUCUCU
ensembl:misc_RNA Metazoa_SRP Metazoan signal recognition particle RNA